AAGUCGUAACAAGGUUUCCGUAGGUGAACCUGCGGAAGGAUCAUUAAUGAAUUUUGGAGUUCUACUGUGCCUGCCGUUCAUUCGGAUGUGUGCACGUAGUCUCUAUAAAUCCUUAUCAACACCUGUGCACCUUUAAAAAGGGGGGGAGUUUUGAUUGAGCAUAUUUUAUUAUGCUUAUGACGAAUAACCUCUUUUUUUCUUAUACAAACUCUUUAAUGUCUAUUAGAAUGUUCUCUGGCCGCAAGGCUAUAAAAUAUAAACAACUUUUAACAACGGAUCUCUUGGCUCUC
rnacentral:misc_RNA from 1 species